rnacentral:snRNA from 2 species
AUCGCUUCUCGGCCUUUUGGCUAAGAUCAAGUGUAAAUAAAAAAAUACAUUAUUUUAAAAAUCUGAUAUGAAAUGAUAUUUAUUGGGGCUUCUGGGCAAAUCAAUCACCCUUGUGCUAGAGUGUUAGGAUAUGUAGAGUG